UCACACCCGCACCUUCACACACUCACACUCACACGUAGCUCUUACUUUUUUACCCCUAAAAAGAAGCUCUUAUUUUCUUUUGAAGAACCCACGUAGCUCUUACCUUAUCCCCUUUCCAUCUCCUAUCCUCUCGCUACAAAAUUGCUUCCACCUGAGCGCUGCGGAUUUAAUUCCCAACAACACCUGAAUUUCCCCUCUUGAUUCCUUGUUGUGACCUUGCUCGUCCUCACCUGCACGCAACUCUGCAGUUCAGCUGACCGACGCGGACACUGGAUGAGGCUUGUUUGGCUCCCUGUAUGCCUCCUCGAUCCCUCAGGUCGGUCAAUGACGACGGAGGGUUAGUAUGGCUCGAUGAGAAGCUGCGCGAUGCGAGCUUGUCGACCUUGACAGUGCCUUUGUUGUCGGCGAGGCGAUGUGAGCGUGGAUCUCGUCUCCCGCAGCAAGCUUGGAUCCACCUCGAUUGUGAGGAACUGAUUGUCCCCGAGCAAGGCAGCCUGGCUUGUCGUCUUCAUCCUGCCGCCUGACUUCAGUGGCUCAUUAUUCUACCUAAUUAAAGAAGAUCAACUUCUAAGACCAGCAGAUGUUAAGUUCCAAUCUUCAUGUGAAAACACAUAUUAUCCAAUUUUGCGCCGCUGAAGAUCGCCACCGCCUCGGUCAAUGGCGCCCCCGUGCAGGUCUCCCACGCCCGCUGCGCUCCCCAUCGGCUGCUCUCCAAGUCUACCGCUAGGACGAUUGGCCCUUCCGCAAAGACCGUCGCCGCCGCGUGACGACCACCGUCCCGAUUCAUCAGUCGCUGCUUUCUGCACUCGUGUUCCCGUGUGCAACCGCUUCUCACUCGCGUGCGUCCGCUCAUGCAGCCAUGCAGGCGUGUUCCUCUCCUGCUUUUGCUUCCGUGUGCGUGGCUGCUGCUAUCUCUACACUGGCUGUUGCAUGCUUGCCUGCGUUGACGCUGUUCUCUCAUUGCUGAUGCUAGGUGCUACUGCUUGCUGUUACGCCCUGCGCGCAGCCUAGUUUUUGGUGUGUUUUGGUGAUGCAUGAUAUGUCAUUGCAAGUUUGUUCCUUCUAAAAAGAAGUCCAAUGUCUCUUACAUCACAUCUAGUCCAGUGUGCUUUUUAGCUUCCUAGUUUCUAGUAUAAUUUCCGCUGCGUCCAUCAAAUCCGUUGAUAUUUUGUGUUUUCUCAUGUCAUGUGAGUCCAUACCUCUGUCCGUCAGCCUUUUUCUGGUCAUUGUCCUUUGUAUAGGAUUUCUGUGGCCUCUCUUUGCAUUGUUGAUCUAAGCCCAUUCUCUUGCCGCCGAGCUUCUUUCGCCGUCGGUUUUCAUGGGCCAUGAGUCUUUAAGCAAUGCUUCUUCUUCUCUUGAUGUGCCAUCUUCUUUCGACAACCCAUCUUCUCUUGAUACUUCUAUUGUAUCUUCUAUCGAUGUGGUGUCUUCCUCUGAUGUGCCAUCUCUUUGUUAUCUCCCUUGGAGACUCGACAGGUUUUGAAGACUCUUCAUGCUACGACGACACUCUCAAGACGCGGAUUUGGAUUAUCAUUUUUUUUAGUAUUACACUUCUUCAAAUGCAAUGCUAUUGCAUACGCUUUGCACUUGAGGGGGGGUGUUAAGGAGUAUCAGUAUUGGUUUAGGAGUCCUUAUUAGUCUAUGUUUAGUUUUCUUACACCUCAAGUCAUGUGUAAUAUAUAUAUGCCCCUUGGGCCUCAAUAAAGAUAAGUUGCUUUCCUAACA